rnacentral:rRNA from 1 species
CCUUGCGCUAUCAGAUGAGCCUAUGUCGGAUUAGCUAGUUGGUGAGGUAAUGGCUCACCAAGGCUACGAUCCGUAACUGGUCUGAGAGGAUGAUCAGUCACACUGGAACUGAGACACGGUCCAGACUCCUACGGGAGGCAGCAGUGGGGAAUAUUGGACAAUGGGCGAAAGCCUGAUCCAGCCAUGCCGCGUGUGUGAAGAAGGUCUUCGGAUUGUAAAGCACUUUAAGUUGGGAGGAAGGGCAUUAACCUAAUACGUUAGUGCUUUGACGUUACCGACAGAAUAAGCACCGGCUAACUCUGUGCCAGCAGCCGCGGUAAUACAGAGGGUGCAAGCGUUAAUCGGAAUUACUGGGCGUAAAGCGCGCGUAGGUGGUUUGUUAAGUUGAAUGUGAAAUCCCCGGGCUCAACCUGGGAACUGCAUCCAAAACUGGCAAGCUAGAGUAUGGUAGAGGGUGGUGGAAUUUCCUGUGUAGC